rnacentral:tRNA from 2 species
GCGGACGUAAUUCAGUGGUAGAAUGUCACCUUCCCAAGGUGAACGUCGUGGGUUCGAGUCCCAUCGUCCGCU